GGGCCCGUAGCUCAGUUGGGAGAGCGCCGCCUUCGCAUGGCGGAGGCCACGAGUUCGAGUCUCGUCGGGUCCA
rnacentral:tRNA from 2 species